CCGAAAGUUGUCAAUUGGAGGACGUUGACGAGGGAAAUUCCAAUCCCUGGACAGAGUUCCAUUUAAAUUUGAAAUAGGCAACAUAGUCAUCAUGAAAUGCUGUAUUUUUAUUCCAAAAGACCCAACCAUCUACGCUUUCAAAAACUCAUUAUGAUAGCUCCGCAAGCACAUAGAGGUGUACUCGCCAGCAUCUCCCUUCUCUACAGCACCCAACACCACUCGACGAGUCCUGUCAUGUGUUUCCAUGUGGACUGUCUCGCUGGAUGUCAGAGGAGUACUGUCCCUCAUCACUUUUCUUGGCGUUCUUGAUGAUCAGUGACCUCUGUGUCCCUUUGGAGACAAUGGUGGUUCUUUGGUC